CUUUCUUUUGCCUAUUAAACCUCAGCUCUUAAACCCACUCCUUAUGUGUGUCCGUGUCCUUAGUUUUCUUGGCAUGAAGCAGCAAAACUCAGGUAUUACCCAGACAAUGAUGCAGCUUCAACAUUGUAUGAGGCGCUCUGGAAAACGCCAUGAGAGGGCAAACUAAGCCAUCUCUGUUCAAUCUGCACAGUUUUGACAAGGCUUCAUGAAAUAAACGGAACAAAAUGCAGCUGGAGAAAUUAGAGUAAAGGAUUCCCCGUCCUUCCAUGGGACUUGCCUUCCCCCCACCCCCACCCUCCUCCACAGCGUGUGCUGCUAUCUUCCCGAGCUCCCCCAGAGCCAGGAGAGGCCUUGCGAUGCUGAGGAUUGUCAUUUAGUUCCAUUUCUUUGUUCCUUCGCUUCAUCUUGUGCCCCUGCUGAAGACAAAGAGAAGCCAUUUGUUAGAUUAAAGAUAAGACAUCUUCACAGGCUUAGCAAGGAAUACAUUUUUAAUACAGCCAUUUAAAUGUCUCUCACCCCUCACAUAGGCCCAGAAAUAUCUUAUUUGACUAUCAAAGAGCUUUAGAUGUCUGAACUGUAAUUGCUGGCACAUGGUAUCUUUAAAGAGCAUAUAAAUCACUGUUAAUAAAUGUAUGCCACAUUGACAACGAGCUUUGGCUGAUGGGGACGAUUAACUCAAUUCUUCAAAGUAUUCGUUGAAAACUGUAACCCUGAGUUGAUGUGGCUUCCCUUUUCAGGCCCAUGCUCACACUCUAGUUUCCAGGGAUCAGCAUAUAAAUAAUAACAAUUUUCAUAAUGCUGCUUUGCAAAAGUCAUUGAUGGUUAUGCCACCACUUCAGAUUGUACUUAUUAAAUUAUCUGCCUUAUUCACUACCCAUGAGAGGACACUAAGAAGACACUGUGCCUUGCAAAAACCUAUACUCUUUAUUUUUUUUAGAUUUUUAAAAUUGAGGUAUAAUCUGCCUACAGGAAAACACACAGAUCUUAAGCAUACAUUUCAAUCUGUUUUGAAAAAUGCAUACAUUAAACCCACACCACCAAGAAGAUAUACAUGACAUCACCCUGGAAAGUUCCCUUCCCUACUACCCCACUCCUGCUGGAAUGAACAAAUGAUCUGAUUUCUAUCUCCAUAAAUUAGUUUUUUUCUGCCCUAGGACUCCCUGC
rnacentral:lncRNA from 1 species